rnacentral:lncRNA from 1 species
AAAGCGCGAAUGACAUGGGGGACGGAAAGGGGAAUAAUCCCCACCCUCCAAAACGCAGCGUUACAUAAGGACCGAAAUGAAAAUCGCCGUAAAAUAGGCGGCCUAAUUCAAAAGAACGAUAGAAGCUAGAUUGAACCCAGACGCAAAAGUGGAGGACCUGGCACGUAAAUAGACCAAAUAGGAAAAAUGCGCGGAUCCUCCCGGGUCGGGUCACACGUGCGGGUUAUGGCCCCCAAAACGGUACCGUUUGGAAGCUAUUGUGCAAGCUUCAAACGGCGCCGUUUCCAUGAUUAAGAUAAAAAUAAAAAAAAAGAAACCCUAGACUAAACCCGAUCUGCCCUUUGAAACAAAAACCUAGCACUCCCCUUUUCUCUCCUGCGCCGUUCAUCGCCUCAGAACAGGGGCUUUCCGAAUCCCAUGCUCGACUCCGAUUAUGACGGAGAGAGCACAAGGCCGGUCCCAGGUGCGUUCUGACUCCUCUUUUUCUUUUAUUUGCUUUCUUUUACAAACAAAUAAUAGCACAACGUGAACGUUUUUGGAAUAGAACAGAAAAAAUCGAAAAGAAAAAAAAACUUUCAGAUCACCUUUUUCUUUGAAACUUUUUGUUUUUUUGUAUUUCCACCGGUUUUUUGAUAUAGAAUGCGUAAAAAAGAAGGGGAUCCCCUUACAAUAUUAGAAUCGGCCUCAUAUAGCCGAAAUAAAAAAGAAAAAUAAAACAAAAAUCUCCAUUUUUUUCAUAUUUUCGUCCUUUUUUUGCUGUUAUUCUUUGCUAUUCUCGUGUCUUCUCUGUUGUUGCUGCGUUUUUUGUCCGUCUUUGUUUGUUUUCUGUGCAGGUACAGGUACGGAGACGUGGCGCGGUGCAACGCGUGAAGGCGUGGUCCCUGGUGGCGGCGUGGCUCGGCUCGGAGGCGUGGCUUUGGCGCGGAGGCACUACAUGCGCGCGGGCAUAACACGUGCGAGGGGGAAGGCUGGCUCUGUUGCGGCGCUGGAGGCUCACCCUAGCUGCUAGGGUUUCGCUUAUAGCUUUGGGCUUAGGUGAUUUGGGCCAUUGGGUUUAGUGGGUCAGGCUGGUAUUGGGUUAACAGUUUAGGCUUGGGACUUUGGAUUUUGUAAUCGGGUUUGGGCUUAAUCUACUUGGUUUGUAAUUUGAACUGUUAAUAAUUUAAUUUUUUAUAUUAUUAUUUUUUUAUUUGGCUUAUUUUGUUGGUUUAUGGGCCGGGCAAAAAUGGGUUCUUACAUUACCAAUAGCUGGGUGACUACAAAGGUAGCUUAUCCAUUCAAAAAUUGAAUUUAAUUAAUUAUUUGAAAAAAAUUUUCAUUUAACUCAAAUUUGAAUUAACAUUAUUUGAUUUAGGGUUAAUAUAUACAGAGGCACUUGAACUUGACA